rnacentral:tRNA from 1 species
GACACUUUGUCCGAGUGGUUAAGGAGACGCCCUGCUAGCCUCGUGACCAGAAUUGCGAGGCCGUCAGGCGUUGGGUUCUGCCCGCGCGAGUUCGAAUCUCGUAGGUGUCG